rnacentral:rRNA from 1 species
GUGGGGAAUAUUGCGCAAUGGGGGAAACCCUGACGCAGCAAUACCGCGUGAGUGAAGAAGGUUUUCGGAUCGUAAAACUCUUUUAUUGGGGAAGAAGAAGUGACGGUACCCAAUGAAGAAGUCCCGGCUAACUACGUGCCAGCAGCCGCGGUAAUACGUAGGGGACAAGCGUUGUCCGGAAUCACUGGGCGUAAAGGGCGCGUAGGCGGUUUUAUAAGUCAGAUGUGAAAGGUACCGGCUCAACCGGUGACGUGCAUUUGAAACUGUGAGAGUUUGGUCCUGGAGAGGCGAGUGGAAUUCCUAGUGUAGCGGUGAAAUGCGUAGGUAUUAGGAGGAACACCGGUGGUGAAGGCGGCUUGCUGGACAGAUACUGACGCUGAGGUGCGAAAGCGUGGGGAGCGAACAGGAUUAGAUACCCUUGUAGUCC